rnacentral:rRNA from 1 species
CAGCAGUCGCCGCGGGAAUACGGAGGGUGCAAGCGUUAAUCGGAAUUACUGGGCGUAAAGCGCACGCAGGCGGUUUGUUAAGUCAGAUGUGAAAUCCCCGAGCUUAACUUGGGAACUGCAUUUGAAACUGGCAAGCUAGAGUCUUGUAGAGGGGGGUAGAAUUCCAGGUGUAGCGGUGAAAUGCGUAGAGAUCUGGAGGAAUACCGGUGGCGAAGGCGGCCCCCUGGACAAAGACUGACGCUCAGGUGCGAAAGCGUGGGGAGCAAACAGGAUUAGAUACCCCUGUAGUCCCUGUCUCUUAUAC